rnacentral:lncRNA from 1 species
CUCUGAUUGACCUAUUAGAGAGAGAUUGCAAUGGAGGAGAUUGCAAUGGAGAUGACUGCACUUCCUUACCAGUAUGCCUAUGGAACCACACGACAGUGGACAUUUGAAUCUGCAGCACCGGUUCAUUGAUCAAAAGGCACAGCUGUUUUGCUCCUGGGUGUUAACUCCACCUCUGGCAUUCUCUACUCCUCUCCUAUGCUAAUGCUGAGUUGCUGUUCAUUGAUAGAAGGCACUGGUGUUGACAGGAAUCUUCUCACUGUCUUAAUACUAACCUUUAUCAUUAACCAGUGGACAGAAAAAAAUGAGAUCAAAAUUUCCAACAAAGUGAACCACUUUCCUUUGUAUUGAAGGUACACAGACAAUGUUCAUAAAACCUACAUGCUUACAUAUUUCUGUUUGACAUGCCCUGAAUUGUAUGCUGC